CAGCAGCCGCGGUAAUACCGGCGGCCCGAGUGGCGGUCACUUUUAUUGGGCUUAAAGCGUCCGUAGCCGGGUUGGGAAGUCCUCCGGGAAAUCUGGCCGCUUAACGGUCAGAAUGCCGGAGGAUACUCCCAGCCUAGGGAGCGGGAGAGGCCGAGGGGAUUCCCGGAGGAGGGGGGAAAUCCUAUAAUCCCGGGAGGACCACCUGUGGCGAAGGCGCUCGGCUGGAACGCGUCCGACGGGGAGGGACGAAGGCCAGGGGAGCAAACCGGAUUAGAUACCCGGGUAGUCCUGGCUGUAAACGAUGCGGACUUUGUGUCGGACAAGCUAUGAGCUUGUCCGGUGCCGGAGGGAAACCGUUAAGUCCGCCGCCUGGGGAGUACGGCCGCAAGGCUGAAACUUAAAGGAAUUGGCGGG
rnacentral:rRNA from 1 species